AGACCCGAAACCCGGUGAUCUAGCCAUGGGCAGGUUGAAGGUUGGGUAACACUAACUGGAGGACCGAACCGACUAAUGUUGAAAAAUUAGCGGAUGACCUGUGGCUGGGGGUGAAAGGCCAAUCAAACCGGGAGAUAGCUGGUUCUCCCCGAAAGCUAUUUAGGUAGCGCCUCGUGAACUCAUCUCCGGGGGUAGAGCACUGUUUCGGCUAGGGGGCCAUCCCGGCUUACCAACCCGAUGCAAACUGCGAAUACCGGAGAAUGUUAUCACGGGAGACACACGGCGGGUGCUAACGUCCGUCGUGAAGAGGGAAACAACCCAGACCGCCAGCUAAGGUCCCAAAGUCAUGGUUAAGUGGGAAACGAUGUGGGAAGGCCCAGACAGCCAGGAUGUUGGCUUAGAAGCAGCCAUCAUUUAAAGAAAGCGUAAUAGCUCACUGGUCGAGUCGGCCUGCGCGGAAGAUGUAACGGGGCUAAACCAUGCACCGAAGCUGCGGCAGCGAACGUAUCACUUAAAGCGAUUCAGCGGGUUACGAUUGACGGAGCGAAGCGACGUCAAAGCGUAUACAAAGUCGAGUCGGUUUAAGGAUACGUUCGUUGGGUAGGGGAGCGUUCUGUAAGCCUGUGAAGGUGGCCUGUGAGGGUUGCUGGAGGUAUCAGAAGUGCGAAUGCUGACAUAAGUAACGAUAAAGCGGGUGAAAAGCCCGCUCGCCGGAAGACCAAGGGUUCCUGUCCAACGUUAAUCGGGGCAGGGUGAGUCGACCCCUAAGGCGAGGCCGAAAGGCGUAGUCGAUGGGAAACGGGUUAAUAUUCCCGUACUUGGUGUUACUGCGAAGGGGGGACGGAGAAGGCUAUGUUGGCCGGGCGACGGUUGUCCCGGUUUAAGCGUGUAGGUGUGUGUUCCAGGUAAAUCCGGUUCACUUUAACACUGAGGCGUGACGACGAGGCACUACGGUGCUGAAGCAACAAAUGCCCUGCUUCCAGGAAAAGCCUCUAAGCAUCAGGUAACAUCAAAUCGUACCCCAAACCGACACAGGUGGUCAGGUAGAGAAUACCAAGGCGCUUGAGAGAACUCGGGUGAAGGAACUAGGCAAAAUGGUGCCGUAACUUCGGGAGAAGGCACGCUGACACGUAGGUGAAGUGAUUUACUCAUGGAGCUGAAGUCAGUCGAAGAUACCAGCUGGCUGCAACUGUUUAUUAAAAACACAGCACUGUGCAAACACGAAAGUGGACGUAUACGGUGUGACGCCUGCCCGGUGCCGGAAGGUUAAUUGAUGGGGUCAGCGCAAGCGAAGCUCCUGAUCGAAGCCCCGGUAAACGGCGGCCGUAACUAUAACGGUCCUAAGGUAGCGAAAUUCCUUGUCGGGUAAGUUCCGACCUGCACGAAUGGCGUAAUGAUGGCCAGGCUGUCUCCACCCGAGACUCAGUGAAAUUGAACUCGCUGUGAAGAUGCAGUGUACCCGCGGCAAGACGGAAAGACCCCGUGAACCUUUACUAUAGCUUGACACUGAACAUUGAGCCUUGAUGUGUAGGAUAGGUGGGAGGCUUUGAAGUGUGGACGCCAGUCUGCAUGGAGCCGACCUUGAAAUACCACCCUUUAAUGUUU
rnacentral:rRNA from 1 species